GGUGAUGGUUCACGGCAUGGGCAAUGGCGAGGAUGACCAGGACCAGGCGCCAGAUGAUGCACCCCUACGCACAAAUAAUCUUGACUGGAACAAGCCACAGAAGCAGGGGCCCUGGAAAACCAAUGAGGAAACAAUACUGGGAUCAAACUGGAUCCUGCUGCCACUAACAUCUGCUCACAGGGAGAUCUGUCGCCAUGUGUUGCUGGGAAUCCUUUUCAAAUGAUUUCGUCCGACGGUUUCCUCUCCUUUGGACUUGGCGCAGGCCAGCUGCUCCCUCAGCAUCUCCUGCCGCAUGUGGAUCGCCUGCAGCGCCUCCUGGAUGUCAAAGAAGUUCUCCUGAAGGCGAGGAAGAGACAGAAGAAAUACCGGAUCAUUAUUAUUUUUCAGAAUUUAACAGGAAGAGGAGAGAAGCAGAUUAUAGGGGACGGCUCGUCUCUGUCUCCACAGCGAGACCUGCACAGAUAACAG